rnacentral:rRNA from 1 species
UACGUAGGGUGCGAGCGUUGUCCGGAAUUAUUGGGCGUAAAGGGCUCGUAGGCGGUUUGUCGCGUCGGGAGUGAAAACCUCGGGCUUAACUCGGGGCUUGCUUUCGAUACGGGCAGACUGGAGGUAUGCAGGGGAGAACGGAAUUCCCGGUGUAGUGGUGAUAUGCGUAGAUAUCGGGAGGAACACCAGUGGCGAAGGCGGCUUUCUGGGCAUUUCCUGACGCUGAGACGCGAAAGCGUGGGGAGCGAACCGG